CAGUACGUUUUGGACUCAUGAAGUUUUGAAGUUUGCUCCUGGCAGUGUUUGGUAUUUAUUUCUGUGAAGUACAGACCAAUAGCAACAGGAGAGAGAUAUCAGAGCACCCUGCAAACUGGAGACCGUGGGCACUGUCCUAGGAAUUGUGAAAGCUGGAGCUGACUCUGUCAGAAUGAGAAGGUUCUAGAAUCUGACCCCCCCUCUGCCCAGGAAAUAGAAACACUUGGCCACUCUAUAAAUGAGACUUUACCAUGACUCUUCAGACCAUCUGUCAUUGGUGAAGAAAGUAUCUCGGUCAGUGAAUGGUUCUUCAUAGUGGUGUCAAGCAAAAGAAAAACCAAGCCUGUCAUUGUCAUCUGCAUGUAGAAAAUUACUGAGAGCACCUCUGUUAGAAUUUUAGUGUUUAAGAACUGUACAGGGCAUGGUAACUAUGAGAAUACUGCUCCACAAAAUCAAAUUGAAAAGGUAACCUUUGUUAAUUAGCAUAUUUGAAUAAAUGAUCUCGAA
rnacentral:lncRNA from 1 species